rnacentral:rRNA from 1 species
AAUAGAUACCCAGGUAGUCCACGCCGUAAACGAUGAGUGCUAAGUGUUAGAGGGUUUCCGCCCUUUAGUGCUGCAGCUAACGCAUUAAGCACUCCGCCUGGGGAGUACGGUCGCAAGACUGAAACUCAAAGGAAUUGACGGGGGCCCGCACAAGCGGUGGAGCAUGUGGUUUAAUUCGAAGCAACGCGAAGAACCUUACCAGGUCUUGACAUCCCACUGACCGGUAUAGAGAUAUACCUUUCCCUUCGGGGACAGUGGUGACAGGUGGUGCAUGGUUGUCGUCAGCUCGUGUCGUGAGAUGUUGGGUUAAGUCCCGCAACGAGCGCAACCCUUGAUCUUAGUUGCCAGCAUUUAGUUGGGCACUCUAAGGUGACUGCCGGUGACAAACCGGAGGAAGGUGGGGAUGACGUCAAAUCAUCAUGCCCCUUAUGACCUGGGCUACACACGUGCUACAAUGGAUGGUACAAAGGGCUGCAAGACUGCGAAGUUAAGCCAAUCCCAUAAAACCAUUCUCAGUUCGGAUUGCAGG